rnacentral:rRNA from 1 species
UACGGGGGGAGCAAGCGUUGUUCGGAUUUACUGGGCGUAAAGGGCGCGUAGGCGGCCACCGCAAGUCAAUUGUGAAAUCUCCGAGCUUAACUCGGAAAGGUCAACUGAUACUGUGCGGCUAGAGUGCGGAAGGGGCAACUGGAAUUCUUGGUGUAGCGGUGAAAUGCGUAGAUAUCAAGAGGAACACCUGCGGCGAAGGCGGGUUGCUGGGCCGACACUGACGCUGAUGCGCGAAAGCCAGGGGAGCGAACGGG